AGUAGUGGCGAGCGAACGGGGACUAGCCCUUAAGUGGCUUUGAGAUUAGCGGAACGCUCUGGAAAGUGCGGCCAUAGUGGGUGAUAGCCCUGUACGCGAAAAUCUCUUAGUCAUGAAAUCGAGUAGGACGGAGCACGAGAAACUUUGUCUGAAUAUGGGGGGACCAUCCUCCAAGGCUAAAUACUCCUAGCUGACCGAUAGUGAACUAGUACCGUGAGGGAAAGGCGAA
rnacentral:rRNA from 1 species